CAGCACCUCAAGUGGUCAGGAUGAUUAUUGGGCCUAAAGCAUCCGUAGCCGGCGCUGUAAGUUUUCGGUUAAAUCUGUACGCUCAACGUACAGGCUGCCGGGAAUACUGCAGCGCUAGGGAGUGGGAGAGGUAGACGGUACUCGGUAGGAAGGGGUAAAAUCCUUUGAUCUAUUGAUGACCACCUGUGGCGAAGGCGGUCUACCAGAACACGUCCGACGGUGAGGGAUGAAAGCCAGGGGAGCAAAACGGAUUAGAUACCCGAGUAGUCC
rnacentral:rRNA from 1 species